AAUUAAACGGCCACGGUAUCCUAACCGUGCGAAGGUAGCAUAAUCACUUGUUCUUUAAAUGAGGACUUGUAUCAACGGCACCACGAGGGUUACACUGUCUCCUUUUUCUGAUCAGUAAAACUAAUCUCCCCGUGAAGAAGCGGAGAU
rnacentral:rRNA from 1 species